UCACGUGCGGCCUGCACAUUAAAAGAAACCACACACUAGUCAGGCACAUGCAUCGUUGAAUGGUUUAGCAUAUCCUACAGGGCUUGAGCUGAAGCAGCUCAUUUGUGUUCAGUGAGGCCACGGGCACAUCUUCUGUCAUGUCAGCUCCUCAAAUCACGGAGACACAAACUAUUCUUUCAUUGCACCAUGACUGGAGACAGGAAGAGGGAGAAGAGGAAGAUGGAAGGGGAGGAAGGAAGAUUGUAGAGUUGGAAGACAAAAGAGUGCAGAGGGACUUAGUGGUUGUUAAAAUAAACAAUAUGUCUUAAAAUGGAACACUGAACAAGAACCAGAACACCUCAGAGCCUAGGCUUGUACCAGGAUCCACCGGUGGGCUCUGCACAAACUGAUGGUUUCCAUCUUCCAAAAGAAGACUUGCA